rnacentral:lncRNA from 1 species
UGUUGUUUCGCUCUAGUUGAUCAGUAGUGGAGCCCAGUUGGGGUCGAUCGGGGACCUUUUGUCGCAGUUGGGGUUCUUCUUUUAUUUUGGUUCCGUAGUCGGACCAUGAGUGUAUUUGAUUGGUGUAAUGUUUAUUCAUGUAAUUGUGUGAAGUGGCGAUUGUAAGCCAACUAUGUAUCUCUUUCCCUUUUGUAUUACAUGGGUUGUGUGAAGAUUACCUCACUUGCGACAUAUGCCUUCAAUGCGAUUAUGUCUCUAAGUCGUGCCUCGACACGUGGGAGCUAUAGUCGCAUCGAGGGUGUUACAAGUUGGUAUCAGAGCCUUCCCCGACCUUAGGAGCCCCAUUGGUUGAUCAUUUUUAGCGUACGAGUUGUGUCUAGAAAAAUGUUUUGAGUCAUUUAGGAAUUAUAUAUCGGAGAGUUUAGGAAUUCUUUUUACUUCCCAGUCUCCUCAUCGCUCUGGUAAGGCAUCCUGACGUAGAGUUUUGACUAUUCUCUUCUCAAAUUUCACUAAAAAAAUUUUAGGAUCACGCAGGUAUCUUAGAAUCGUUCCGAUGGUUUUAUGAUGAGAACAUUGUCUUGGUGCCUCCUAUCAGGGGUUUAGUGGAAGUGUCCCGGGGAGUUGAGCUCUGAGGUGUUGUCGUCAUAAUUUUAUCGUUGCAGUUCUGGAAUACCUGAGUUUAGUACGCCGACAUCGAAAAUCUCUUUUAUGCAGUUCGUUGGUGAGAUAACCUCGACGCCACCCAGUACUAGGGCGGGAGUUCGGGAGUAUUGCCAUAACUUGUAUAACGGAUGCUUUUUGAAGGUUGAGGUAGAUGGUUUCCGAAGUUUUUUCUCGGUUAUGUGUUGAAGGAUGGAUACAGCUGGAUGUAGGAUUUGCUAGUUUGGGUGAGAUAUUAUGCUUCCCCUGUAUCCCCAACACCUGAUUGCAUAACCGGAAAGGUUCGGGAGUUUCAUAGGUGGGAAUUCAAGUAGCUCUUAGGAUAUCUUUCUGACAGAUGUAUGAUAUGAAAUUGAGGUUCGACGUCUAGUGGUCCGCCUAUUCACGGUCGGUUUUACAGUGGUCUCGUUGUGUCUUAAAGAGUCCUUGGCUAUGCCGACUCGGGGACGCUUCGUAUGUCAUGUGCACUGCCUUGUACAUGAUGGUGCUGUACGAUCGAGCCCGUGUAGGCCCCACCAUGAAAACUUCGGACGAAAUCUCUAUCAUAUGUUUGUUCCAGCUUAUUCUGCAAGCCAAUCCUUUGUUUUGUUUUCAGUUGUGGUAUUCGAGUUGCUUCAAUGUCAAAUGUUGAUUCCAUACCUUCCCCAAAUGGUGUUCUCAUACUCCGAUGCGAAUACUAAUCCUUCUUGAUAAUCGAGAUUUUCAUGUCAAUCCUCUUCUCAACCGAUGUGCUUCUCUUCAAAUGGAUCCGAUCAUUGCAACAUCCGCAAGUUUCAAUCUCAGCUUUCUCUACGGUGUUCAUUUCAUCCAUCUCAAGUUGCAUUUGUUUUCCCUCCCACCCACCCUUUUUCUUCAAGGACUCAGAUUUCUCAAUCAAGUAUCAUUUUAUCGAUGGAAGUCUCUCCAUUGUUUUCCUUCAUGUUCGUAUCCGGUGAUUGUCAUGAAGAUGCUUACGGAGUUUCAAGUUCAUCACUCAUUUUCUUCCCCGGUGGUUUCAAGUCAAGCUUUGUUGAUCAUAUCAUUUUCCUCGUUUCAAUGUUUUCUCAUGCUGGUGCAAUUCUUAAUCAUUCACCUCUCGCUAUUCAAUUGUUCCGGAGUGCUGAAGAUAUCUCAAAAGGAUCGUCUUGUCAUUCAAGAUCCGUUAAUCCUAUUUUGAGGAUGUUUAUCUCGUUCAAGCCUUUUAAUUCUACCGGUGCAAUAUCUCUUUUCAAGUAAAUCAUUUCAACGGUGUAACUUUUGAGUGGGCCCUAACCCACAGGUCUUUUCCCAGGAUCUUACCUGACUCUUCUAAUCUCCCCGGAGCUAUCAUCAAAUUCUUUUUUGAAGUUUGACGUAAGAAUGAAUUAUCAUCAGUCAAAUGCUUUUCUCCUAGAUCUUUCACAAUUCUUUUCAUCGUUGGCUCAACCUCUUCGUUUGAUUCUUCCGGAGUGUCUAAAUAAUUCUUGGUGGUGUUUCUCGUUGGCAUUCUCAUCAUUUGAAGACUGAAGAAGAUUUUUACCUCCAUAUCUUGCUCCAUUCUAUUCAAGAUUCGUGGCUCUAGUUUGCUGCCAUCCUCUCAUAAUUAUUUUCUAUUGUGAGAUUUCUUUUCACCCAUCUGGAGUAAUUCAGGAGUCUUUUCAGUUUGAUUAUCCGGAGCCCACCAUCUAAGAUUUAUUCAUUCCAGCCUUCAGCUCUAAUACUCUAAAUCUUACCGGUGCUUCGUUCAAGUGAUCUUUAAUUGGCUCGUGAUCUCUUCGUUCUCAUGUAUCUAAAUUCUCUCAAGCUUCUUCGUUUAUUUAAUAAAUUCUUCCCGGUGUUUCUUUAUCUUUACUUCGUUCAUUUCCAAUUCUUACGGCGAUUCGUUCAAGAUUUCUCUUCUUAUCAAUUUAUUCGUUAUUUCAAUUCUACCGGUGGUUCGUUCAAUAUUUUCCAAAGUUGGCCCUAUAUCUAUCUUAAUGCUCUCUACGAGAAUAAGUAAUAUGCCAAAUCCAUUGAUUGUCAUCAAUUUAAUUGGUGAAGGAUAAGCAUAAUGUAAUUCUUAUUCUUGUUUCAUUCAAGUGAUUAAUUCUUUAUUCCGGAGGCUCAUAAAAAAUUCUUGGUUUCACUUGUUUCAUCUUUUCUUUUCCGGAGUUCCAAGUUCUCUCAAUUAUAUCAUCACGGAGAUCCAUCUAAAGCAUUGCAAGGUUUCAUCUUGUGUUUUCAACUUCUCUUUCUUGUCGUUAUCCUUUCGUUACCGGAGUUCUUCCUGGAGAUUCUACAUGUUGGUUCAUCAAGGAUUUAUAUUCCUUCUCGAAAUGUUCAUCAAGAUUCUUUUCUAAGGAGUUCAAGCAUUCUUCAUCUUGCUAUCCGGAGUGCAUUUCUGUCUACCUUAUCAUUCGAGGUGGUAUUAUGUCAUUCUUGAUAAUUUAAGUUCGGGUUUUCAUGAUUCACAUGCUGUCUAGAAUGAGACAUUUUUAAAUCCAUCAAUCUCGUCAUUGGAGCUAUCUUGGGUUAUAUUUCACCUAAAGCUGUCCCUAAGGAUUGUUGCUAUUAUGGUGCUCAUAAAUGAUCCAAGCUCUUCAUUUGUCCUUUCCAGUGCGACAUACCUUUCUCAUAAAUUUGUUCAUAUCAAUCCAAUUCUUUUCCGUGAGUGGCAGGUUGUCACCUCAUAAUACGAGAUGUAUUCCAUAAGACCAUAUCAAACUUAUCCUUUUCGUUGUUGGUUUUCCAACAACUCCGUUCGACCUUUCUCCUAAAGAUGCCUUUUCAAACUCUUUUGUGGCAAAAAUUGGCAUUUUCUUCUCAAUUCUCUUAUUUCAAUUAUCUAUCUUCUAUUCUUUUGUUCUGGAGGCUUUCUGAUGUCGCUCUCUUCAACCCAUCUUCUUGCUUUGUCCGGAUCAUUUUUUUCAUGUCUAUCCAUUAAACUGGAGUGCCGUGCCCUUUUGCUCAAGUUCUUUUCAUUUUAUCAAGUUUUUGCCUUCCGUUUCAACCGGAGCGCUGCCCGAAUUUGGUCUUCCUUGAUCCCCUUCUUUAACCGGAGUGUUUUUUCUAUGUAUAUCUUCCCUUCAACCUCAAGGUUUCGCAAUGCUCUUUGUCCCCCUUUUCUAACGGAGUGCUUUCGACUUUGUUCUCCUUUGUUGUAUUCUUUUCUCGAAUUUGUUCAACCUAGCAAGGUUCUUUGGUUUCACUUAUUGGUCAAAGAAGCAACUUAGUUUUACCGCUUCUCUUUCCCUUUCGUUUUCCCUCCGGUGCCAUUCUAGAUCUCGGGACGAGAUCCUCUCGUAGUGGUGGAGUGUUGUAACGCCCCGAGACCGAUGUGCCAGGUGUCAUUCAGUUAUUCGUUGUUGUUGCCUUAUCAUUGCUUGCGUGUCAUGCAUUGCAUAUCAUGUCAUCAUGCGCAUUUCAUUUGCAUACGUGUUCGUCUCAUGCAUCCGAGCAUUUUCCCCGUUGUCCGUUUUGCAUUCCGGCGCUUCGUUCUCCUCCGGUGGUCAUUUCUACCUUUCUUUCUUGUGUGGGGGUUAAAAAUUUCCGGAUUGGACCGAGACUUGCCAAGCGGCCUUGGUUUACCACCGGUAGACCGCCUGUCAAGUUUCGUACCAUUUGGACUUCGUUUGAUACUCCAACGGUUAACCGAGGGACCGAGAAGGCCUCAUGUGUGUUGCAGCCCAACACCCUUUCAAUUUUGCCCAAAACCCAUCUAAGACCUCUCCAUCAUCUCGGUCGUUCGAUCACGAUCGCGUGGCCGAAAACCGCACCUCAUUUGGACUCUCCUAGCUCCUUUUACCUAUAAAUAUGUGUCUCCCUCCGAAAUCCUCGCGCAGAUCUAACCCUAUCUUCGUCCUCCUUGCGCCGCCGGACACGUCCGCCGGACGGACGGACAUGUCCACCCCGUCCAGCCACGUCGCCCGUCCAAUGAGAGGCCGCCACGUCAUCGCCUCCGCCUCCCGCAUCCAACCCGCGCGCGCACAUGUCCUCCCCGCGCCCCACUUCGUCGGGGCCCGGAGGAGCCCAGAUCCGGCCCUCCCCGGGCCCGAGUCGCCCGCGCCCCGCCUGCCUUUCCUCGUAGCCGCGUUCGCCACCGAUCCCCAUGCCGCCGCCCUUCGCCCCGCCGCCGACGAGCGCAUCGCUCGCCGGACUUCGCCGCCGCCUCGCCAGAACGCCCCGCCACCACGUCGCCGCCCCGGACCCGCCUGCCUCACCUUCUUCCUCCACCCCGCCACCCAUCGUUGUGCCCUUCGCUGCACCUGUCCGGAGACAGGAGACGCCGCCGGCGACCUCAGGUCGACCCUGUGCUCUUCCUUGUUUCCUUCUCUCUCUCUUCUUCUCUUUUUUCCUCUCUUCACCGUCCCUCUCUCUCCCUUGCAGCAAGCCGCCGACCGGAUCUGGAUCCCCCGCGCCGGAUCCGACCAUUUCCGCCGUCCCGGCCUCCUUCCGGCGACCGGCGCCGCCACCGUCCACUCCCGGAGCUCCGGCGAUGUCCCUCGGCAGGAGGAGAACGACGACCCGCUCGUGGGCGUCUCCCCCUCACGCUCAGGGGCCCCAGCGCCGGCCCAUCCGCCUCGGCCUGCCUCUCCCCCGACCUCGGCCAUGGCCCGUGGGUGAGCAGCCCCUCCCCCCAGUCUCCUGUGCAUCUGGCCCAACAGUUUCGGCCCAUUUCAUGUUUUUUUUCAUCCCCUGGGAUUUUCCUAUUUAUCCAGAGAUUGCCAGUUUUGCAGAAUAGUCCCCCUAGUUCAUGCAUUUAAUAACUCACUAACCGUGCAUCGAAUUAAAAUGUUUUAUAUAUGAAACUUGCUCAGAAUUUUGUGGAGAUUAAUAAUAUGCAACUUUCAUCCAUGUUAAAAAUGUUAAAAAUGUUGUUUGCUUUAAUUUGCUCCUAUGCCAUGCUAAAAUGAUUUAUUUCAUAACUAAAUAACCGUAACUCCGAAUUUAAUAAACUUUAUAUGUAAUUGGGGUAGAAUUUUGCCUAGUUUAUCAUGGUGGCCUUACUUUGCAUGUUUACAACACUAAAAUUGUGUUUAGGCAGAACAGUACCAAAUCUGUAAUAUGCUCAUGAGGAGUUUCCGGAAUUGUUGUUCGUUGCUUCCGGCCUCAUUUAACCUUGACUAGAUCGCUAGUUUUACUUUGCUUCACCCUCUUGCCAUAUUAAUCAACAUUUAAUAUUGUUGGGUACAUAAACGAGAUCGAACUAAGUAACUUGAGUGUGGUGUUUCAUCAAUAUGCAACGAAGUUGCAUAAUGAGCUCCACUUAAUUUGUAGGAUUGUUUGUGCACUUUGCCAUGCCAUGCAUAUUUAAACCGGACAUGCAUCAUACUUGGUUGUGCAUCAUGCCAUGAUUAUGUGGUGGUUGUUUACCAUGAUUGUUUGCUUCUUUCCGGUGUUGCUUCUUCGGGUUGGUUCCGAUAACGCCGCGUUUGUGAGGAUCCAUUCAACGUCGUCCGUUUGUCUUCUUCAUGGACUCAUUCUUCUUCCUUGCGGGAUCUCAGGCAAGAUGAUCAUACCCUCAAAAUCACUACUAUCGUUGCUAUGCUAGUUUGCUUGCUCUUUUGCUAUGCCAAUGCUACGAUGCCUACCAUUUGCUUGCCAGCCUCCCAAAUUGCCAUGCCAAACCUCUAACCCACCAUGUCCUAGCAAACCGUUGAUUGGCUAUGUUACCACUUUGCUCAGCCCCUCUUAUAGCGUUGCUAGUUGCAGGUGAAGAUUGGAGGCCGUUCCUUGUUGGGGUAUUUAUUUACUUGUUGGGAUAUCACUAUAUAUCUUAUUUAAUUAAUGCAUCUAUAUACUUGGUAAAGGGUGGAAGGCUCGGCCUUAUGCCUGGUGUUUUGUUCCACUCUUGCCGCCCUAGUUUCCGUCAUAUCGGUGUUAUGUUCCCGGAUUUUGCGUUCCUCACACGGUUGGGCUAUAAUGGGAACCCCUUGACAGUUCGCCUUAAGUAAAGCUUUUCCAGCAAUGCCCAACAUUGGUUUUACCAUUUACCACCUAGCCUUUUUCUUUCCCUUGAGUCGGUCGGCUCAAGGGUCAUCUUAUUUUAAUCCCCCCGGGCCAGUGCUUCUCUAAGUGUUGGUCCAACUAAGCGAUGUCGGAGGCUACCAGGGGCAACUCUGGGCUGGCUUACCCGACGUCUGGCUCAUCUGAGUGUGCCCUGAGAAAGAGAUAUGUGCAGCUCCUAUCGGGAUUUGUCGGCACAUUCGGGCGGUGUUGCUGGUUUAGUUUUACCCUGUCGAAAUGUCUUGUUGUACCGGGAUACCGAGUCUGAUCGGAAUGUCUCGGGUGGAGGUCUAUUCCUUCGUUGACUGUGAGAGCUUGUGAUGGGCUAAGUUGGGACACCCCUGCAGGGAUUUGAACUUCCAAAAGCCGUGCCCGCGGUUAUGGGCAGAUGGGAAUUUGUUAAUGUCGGGUUGUAGAAAACCUGAACUUGACCUUAAUUAAAAUGAAUCAACCGCGUGUGUAACCGUGAUGGUCUCUUUCCGGCGGAGUCCGGGAAGUGAACACGGUUGUUGGAGUUAUGCUUGACGUAGGUUGUUAUAGGAUCACUUCUUGAUCAUACUUUCUCGACCGUGCUUUGCCUUCUCUUCUCGCUCUCAUUUGCGUAUGUUAGCCACCAUAUAUGCUAGUCGCUUGCUGCAGCUCCACCUCAUACCUUUACCUUACCCAUAAGCUUAAAUAGUCUUGAUCGCGAGGGUGCGAGAUUGCUGAGUCCCUGUGGCUCACAGAUACUUCCAAAACCAGUUUGCAGGUGUCGAUGAGUCCGUGCAGAUGACGCAACCAAGCUCAGGAGGAGCUCGAUGAAGAUCUUGUCCUUUGUGUUGUUUCGCUCUAGUUGAUCAGUAGUGGAGCCCAGUUGGGGUCGAUCGGGGACCUUUUGUCGCAGUUGGGGUUCUUCUUUUAUUUUGGUUCCGUAGUCGGACCAUGAGUGUAUUUGAUUGGUGUAAUGUUUAUUCAUGUAAUUGUGUGAAGUGGCGAUUGUAAGCCAACUAUGUAUCUCUUUCCCUUAUGUAUUACAUGGGUUGUGUGA